CGUCAGAGUCCACUCGGGAGAGCCCCCUUGGCGCCGCCUCUUCCCCGGGUGGAGGGUGCAGCUGGAAAAUAGGUUCCGGACUGGGGACGCUCAUUGUGGAAGCUGAUUGGUGCGGGCACUUGUCCAUCUGGAACUGCAGCAGCUGUUUUUAAUGAAACGAACUAAGAAAAUGCUCUGGACUCAAUACCAGGCUCAGUAUCUGCAGCUCUUGGACGUUGUCCCGACCCUUGCUGUUCACAAUACUCUCCAGUGUCUGACAUGGAAACAAAUUGUGGGACUCCUUCCUUUAGUUCCCAGAGAGCAGGAUAAUGCCCAGCUGCCUGUUGGAUGGGUCAUCUAUUUUAAUAUUGGAGCAAGUAAAUGGAUUGUUAAAAAGAUGAACAUUUUUCCCUCCUCAUUAAAAAUCUUGAAAUUUAAAAAAAAAAAAAAAAA
rnacentral:lncRNA from 1 species